rnacentral:rRNA from 2 species
CCCUAGUAACGGCGAGUGAAGCGGGAACAGCUCAAAUUUGUAAUCUGGCGGCCCCCCAGGCCGUCCGAGUUGUAAUCUGGAGAAGCGUUUUCAGUGCCGGCCCGCGUACAAGUCCCCUGGAACGGGGCGUCGCAGAGGGUGAGAAUCCCGUCUCUGACGCGGCCUGCCGGCGCGCUGCGAUGCGCUCUCGAAGAGUCGAGUUGUUUGGGAAUGCAGCUCAAAACGGGUGGUAAAUUCCAUCUAAAGCUAAAUACUGGCGAAAGACCGAUAGCGAACAAGUACCGUGAGGGAAAGAUGAAAAGCACUUUGGAAAGAGAGUCAAACAGUACGUGAAAUUGUUGAAAGGGAAACGCUCGGAGUCAGUCGCGUCUCCCGGGACUCAGUCGUGCUUCGGGCGCGGCGUACUUCCCGGGUCAGGACGGGCCAGUGUCGAUUUCGACCGUCGUAAAAAGGCGAGAGGAACGUGGCACCUUCGGGUGUGUUAUAGCCUCGCGUCCGCAUGCGACGGUGGGGGAUCGAGGGAUGCAGCGCGCCCCCCUUUCGAGAUGGGGCCGGGGUUCGCCCACGUAACGC